rnacentral:tRNA from 1 species
UCCUGUGUGGCUCAGUUGGUAGAGCAUGGUGUUUGCAACACCAGGGUUGUGGGUUCAAUUACCACGGGGG